AACAGGGGUGCGUAAUACGCUGAGAUUUUACCCUUAUCACCUGAUCCAGGUAAUACUGGCGUAGGGAGUUC
rnacentral:ncRNA from 1 species